rnacentral:rRNA from 1 species
UACGUAGGGGGCGAGCGUUACCCGGAUUUACUGGGCGUAAAGGGGGCGUAGGCGGCCGUGAAAGUCCGGUGUGAAAACUCACGGCUCAACCGUGGGACUGCGCUGGAAACUACACGGCUUGAGGACGGUAGAGGGAGACGGAACUGCUGGUGUAGGGGUGAAAUCCGUAGAUAUCAGCAGGAACGCCGGUGGAGAAGUCGGUCUGCUGGGCCGUAACCGACGCUGAGGCACGAAAGCUAGGGGAGCGAACCGG